AGUAAGGUAAGCUAAAUUAAGCUAUCGGGCCCAUACCCCGAAAAUGUCGGUUGAUACCUUCCCCUACUG
rnacentral:tRNA from 1 species